rnacentral:rRNA from 1 species
CCAGCAGCUGCGGUAAUUCCAGCUCCAAUAGCGUAUAUUAAAGUUGUUGCGGUUAAAAAGCUCGUAGUUGGAUUUCUGCUGAGAACGACCGGUCCGCCCUCUGGGUGUGUAUCUGGCUCUUUCUUGGCAUCUUCUUGGUGAACGCUGCUGCACUUGACUGUGUGGAGCGCUACCCAGGACUUUUACUUUGAGGAAAUUAGAGUGUUUCAAGCAGGCAUACGCCUUGAAUACAUUAGCAUGGAAUAAUAAGAUAGGACCUCGGUUCUAUUUUGUUGGUUUCUAGAGCUGAGGUAAUGAUUAAGAGGGACAGUCGGGGGCAUUCGUAUUUCAUUGUCAGAGGUGAAAUUCUUGGAUUUAUGAAAGACGAACCACUGCGAAAGCAUUUGCCAAGGAUGUUUUCAUUAAUCAAGAACGAAAGU